rnacentral:miRNA from 1 species
GAAGCUCGUUUCUAUAGAGG